rnacentral:rRNA from 1 species
GAUGAACGCUAGCUACAGGCUUAACACAUGCAAGUCGAGGGGAAACGGCAUUUAGUGCUUGCACUGAAUGGACGUCGACCGGCGCACGGGUGAGUAACGCGUAUCCAACCUUCCCAUUACUGUGGGAUAACCUGCCGAAAGGCAGACUAAUACCGCAUAGUCUUCGAUGACGGCAUCAGAUUUGAAGUAAAGAUUUAUCGGUAAUGGAUGGGGAUGCGUCUGAUUAGCUUGUUGGCGGGGUAACGGCCCACCAAGGCGACGAUCAGUAGGGGUUCUGAGAGGAAGGUCCCCCACAUUGGAACUGAGACACGGUCCAAACUCCUACGGGAGGCAGCAGUGAGGAAUAUUGGUCAAUGGACGGAAGUCUGAACCAGCCAAGUAGCGUGCAGGAUGACGGCCCUAUGGGUUGUAAACUGCUUUUGUAUGGGGAUAAAGUUAGGGACGUGUCCCUAUUUGCAGGUACCAUACGAAUAAGGACCGGCUAAUUCCGUGCCAGCAGCCGCGGUAAUACGGAAGGUCCAGGCGUUAUCCGGAUUUAUUGGGUUUAAAGGGAGCGUAGGCUGGAUAUUAAGUGUGUUGUGAAAUGUAGACGCUCAACGUCUGACUUGCAGCGCAUACUGGUUUCCUUGAGUACGCACAACGUUGGCGGAAUUCGUCGUGUAGCGGUGAAAUGCUUAGAUAUGACGAAGAACUCCGAUUGCGAAGGCAGCUGACGGGAGCGCAACUGACGCUUAAGCUCGAAGGUGCGGGUAUCAAACAGG